UGGAAGUUUGUUUGUAAUAACAGCAUCUGGGCAGCGAUCAUGUAACUUUGAGCGGAACUUUUCACUUUUCACGAUUCCGCUUGUCCAAAUUCCGCGUGAAUCUUUUCACGAAUCACAGAGCGAUUACGUAUUGAAACUUGUCAAAAGAGAAAUCACUAAACACGUUAUGAUAUAGGGCGAAGAAAAUAACUAUUUAUUACUAUAAGCCGCGAAUCAUAAAAUUUUUAAGUGCGGAAAAGUAAUAAAUUACAAUACAUAUAGACAAUACAUAUAGGCAUAAAUAAAGCACAUGCAUAUUUCAUCGAAACAAAAAGAAAUGUUAUUAAAUAAUUUAAAUGAUCACGAGGAAUUAGUGAAAGGCCAAGUCGAUAGAAAAAGUGAAAGCAAAAGGAAAUUAACAUGGAAAGAUAUGAAAUCCUACAUUUUAAAAAAAGAAGCAAAAAAACGCAAUUAUGUCCAGGGAACAGGUGGUGGCUCUCCUUGUAACAUAACAUUUUUUAAUUUUGAAGAGGAAGUUUUAAUUUUUUUGACACCUGAAGCAGCCGGGUUAACGAACAUUCCAGAAGGCGGGCUAGCAGAUAAUGUAGAAAUCCAAGAACCAGAAAUGUUUCCAUGUUCCGAAGAAGUUGAACAUGCAGAAAAUAUGCAGCCAAAUAACAGCAUAACAAACAGAAACAAAGUUAAAACAUCAGUAUAAGGAGAUACAAAUAUAAAAAAAGAUACACAAUGGGGAUUUAUAGUAUGAAAAAUGUUUUUGGAAUUCAAUAAGGAAACAUGUGAUAAUAUUAUAUUUAUGACUGAUGUUAACAUCUAUAAAGAAACACGUGAUAUUAUAUUAACGAUUUAUGUUUACGUUUAUAAAGAAAUAUGUGAUGUUAUUUUUACAAUUUAUGUUUGCGUAUAAAGAAGCGAGUGAUAUUAUAUUAACGAUUUAUGUUUACGUCUAUGUGAUGUUAUGUUUACGUCUAUAAAGAAACAUGUGAUAUUAUGUUUACGAUUUUAUGUAAUGUUAUAUAUCAUAAUGAUUGUUAUUACACUGGUUAACUGUAUUGGUAAUGAAUAUAAAACGCAGACAUUUAUAAUAAUAUAAAGGAAAGUAUUUUUAUUAAAUAUGUAAUCAACUAUAUGUCACAAUAAACAUUAUAACAAUAGUGUACAAAUA